GCCGCCUCUGAAUCCCUCUCAUUCUUAUAUCGUCUCUAUAACAACCCUAAACCCUAGCUGCCGGCACCCUAAUCCAUGGCUUUCCAUGGUCGUCCAAGACCUAUAUCAACAUUCUAUGGCUUCUACGUGUUUGGUUAUGUGGUCUUAUGACCAGAUUCUGAAGGGGCUUGGUUCAGUCUUUGCUCGAUGGCCUUUCUUCGGUCAUCUCUGACCUUUCUCUGGCGAGCGAUGGCCAUUCGAGUCAGAACUGUGACUUUCCUGUUUAGAUCGGUAGCUUUCAAGGCCUUUCUUGUUGCUUUCGGUUCUUCUGAAACCUUAAUCUCUAAGACCUUUUCGACUUCUUUCAGGUUUACCUUAGAUCUAUGCUUGCUAUAAGUUUUCUUGAAGCUUCUUUAAUUUUUCUUUCAAAAAAGACUCUUUAUCUUUUUCCGUUUAGGGCUUUCCUUCAAGUUCUUCUUUUCAAAAUCUUUUCUGAGUUUACC
rnacentral:lncRNA from 1 species